GUGCCAGCCGCCGCGGUAAUACGGAGGAUGCGAGCGUUAUCCGGAUUUAUUGGGUUUAAAGGGUGCGCAGGCGGCCUGGUAAGUCAGCGGUAAAAUCGUGGGGCUCAACCCCAUCCUGCCGUUGAUACUGUCGGGCUUGAUUGCGGUCGAGGUAGGCGGAAUUCGUCGUGUAGCGGUGAAAUGCAUAGAUAUGACGAAGAACACCGAUUGCGUAGGCAGCUUACCAGACCGCAAAUGACGCUCAGGCACGAAAGUCGGGGAUCGAACAGGAUUAGAUACCCUGGUAGUCCGCACAGUAAACGAUGAAUACUUGCUUUUGGCGAUAUACGGUCAGAGGCAAAGCGAAAGCGAUAAGUAUUCCACCUGGGGAGUACGCCGGCAACGGUGAAACUCAAAGGAAUUGACGGGGGCCCGCACAAGCGGAGGAACAUGUGGUUUAAUUCGAUGCUACGCGAGGAACCUUACCCGGGCUUGAAAGUUAGUGACGGACCUUGAAAGAGGUCUUCCCUUCGGGGCACGAAACUAGGUGCUGCAUGGUUGUCGUCAGCUCGUGCCGUGAGGUGUCGGCUUAAGUGCCAUAACGAGCGCAACCCUUUUCUCCAGUUACCAUCAUUAAGUUGGGGACUCUGGAGACACUGCCAUCGUAAGAUGUGAGGAAGGAUGGGAUGACGUCAAAUCAGCACGGCCCUUACGUCCGGGGCGACACACGUGUUACAAUGGGCAGGACAGAAUGGAUCGAGGUGGCGACACUGAGGGAAUCACGAAACCUGCUCCCAGUUCGGAUUGGAGUCUGCAACCCGACUCCAUGAAGCUGGAUUCGCUAGUAAUCGCGCAUCAGCCAUGGCGCGGUGAAUACGUUCCCGGGCCUUGUACACACCGCCCGU
rnacentral:rRNA from 1 species